AGGACGAACGCUGGCGGCGUGCCUAACACAUGCAAGUGGAGCGACGAACCAGGCUUCGGCCUGGGGCAAAGCCGCGAACGGGUGAGUAACACGUGGGUAACCUGCCCCGAUGAUUGGGACAACCCGAGGAAACUCGGGCUAAUACCGAAUGUGCCCUCCGACCAUAAGGUCGCUGGGGAAAGGAAGCUUCGGCCUCCGCAUCGGGAUGGGCCCGCGGCCCAUUAGCUUGUUGGUGAGGUAACGGCUCACCAAGGCUGCGAUGGGUAGCUGGUCUGAGAGGACGAUCAGCCACACUGGGACUGAGACACGGCCCAGACUCCUACGGGAGGCAGCAGUGGGGAAUAUUGGACAAUGGGCGCAAGCCUGAUCCAGCAAUGCCGCGUGAGUGAUGAAGGCCUUAGGGUUGUAAAGCUCUUUCGCCCGCGACGAUGAUGACGGUAGCGGGAGAAGAAGCCCCGGCUAACUUCGCGCCAGCAGCCGC
rnacentral:rRNA from 1 species